rnacentral:lncRNA from 1 species
GUUUUUACUGUCGUGGGGGGUGGGGGUGGAGCCUCACAGACAAGAUGAGGUCAAGGCCAGGAAGCACCAAUCAGGAUGUUAAGCAUUCUACUUCUUCUCCUAGGAAUGGGGUUUGGAUUCAUACGGACUGUUAAACAUCACUGCCUAUCCAGGUGUCUUCUACCUGAAGUCAACUUGGACACGCCUGUCAACCUCAAGAGCCUGGCCUUAUCAUACUUGGGCACAGUGACAGUGAUAGUUUGGUGUCAGGGCUUGUCAGAAUAACAAUUACCAACUCCAUGUUCCUGCUGCUAACGUUCACCCACACAGCACUGAGACAGAGUCUACGCUUAAGAAGUGGGGUCUGGACUGAACUCACUUGGUAACCAGGAAGGAUGCCCUUGACCUUUACGUGGAUGAGGCUCUAUGUGACUUCACAGAAAUUGGUUCUACGUAAAAACUAACUAAGCAUUAUAUAAUUCUGAUAUUGUAUAUUACAGUGUCCCUGAAAUGAUCAGUAAAGUAAACUGAUA